rnacentral:tRNA from 1 species
GAUAUCUCAGUUGGUAGAGCAUGAGACUCCCAAUCUCAGGGUUGUGGGUUCAAGCCCCACAUUGGCA